CACGGGCGAAUGGCCGCCGUCAGUUCAACGGAACAGCCGCUCUUUUAGGAUGAAUUACAGCCAAACGCAAAAUGUACCGGUAGGCCUACUGACCUGAAAUACAAGUACCCUGUCCUUGCCUGAAAAAAAGAUUACACUCAGCAUGUACGCCAGGCUGCCAAAGUCAGUGACACUCGGGGCAGGGUAUUCAGUAUUGCUGGAAAAGCUCCCAGAACACCCCCACUUUAACUUCAACUAUCUUAAAGAUGAUUCACAAAGCAUAAACAAUAAAGUCUGGCAGUUCCUGCAGGUGGAGGAAGAAACUGGGCUGUCCAACAGAG